AAUAAGUUGGCAGAGUAGUGCACUCGAUUUAGGUUCGAAAUAUAAAAAUAUUUACUUAUU
rnacentral:tRNA from 1 species